ensembl:lncRNA
ACCACGUUGACGGUUACUCUGUGCAGCACACUCAGGACUUCCUCCUUUCUUCAUGUUUCCGUAGCCGCCUAAACCAGUCAUCUUUUCACCAUCGCUGAGAAAUCAUAUAAGAAUAUUUGGAUCCUGAAUACAACUUGGUUAGGGCCGAAGCUACCACAGAGAUUGCCGGGGCUAAGAGUCCCUGAUCCACCUACCUAGGCCCUUCACCAGGGAGCAUCCCUGAGCUUCAGCAUGUCACAGCAGCACAUGCUGGCCUUUUGGAUCAUCCUUCUGUUCAGUCGUGGCUCAACAGCAUCCUCAAAUGUUUCUUCUCCAAGCCCUGAGAGAGCAGUGAUAACCAUGCCAACAGGUGUGGCCGAGGUCCUAACGUCAGCUCCUCCACUCCACAGUUCAACAGCUUCCUCAAAUGCUUUUCUCCCAAGCAAUGAGACAGCAACGCCCACGUCAGAUAAUACAACAACUGUCCCUGUUACCACAAAUGUGACCGAGGUCCUAACAUCAGUUCCUCCAUCCCACAGUAAGCCAGUCAAGUUGAAAACACACUGGACAACAUACUACACUUUCAGCCAUUACAAGGGAGAUGAUGAGGUCCAACUGUUGACACUUUGUAUGUGUUUUGGUCUAAGUGCUAAUUACAGUUUCAAUCUAAUUACCCUUGUUUGUCAUAUUUUAAUCUACAAAACGUUUGAAGUGAUCCACAUAUUAGCAAGUAGACUUAUAGUCAAAUGUAAACAAUGGGCCUCAUUCUCGAACAUUUUCUGAAGUUUCUUCUGAAAUGUUUCUUACGGAAUUCGGAAAACCAACUUAAGAAAAACAUAUCCGCCAGAUUCAUGCACGCCUGAAAAUGUGUUUUGCUACACGAUGGUAGUCCUCUACCCGAUAGUAGUCCCGCACAUUGCGCAUGCUCAGACACAAACGGUUUACGGCAGAAGGCUCAACGUAUGGGGCUGUCUUAACGCAUAAUGUGGGUAUAUUUAAUGUAAUAUUUAAUUAUUAAAAGUGUGGAGACGGAGUAAGGGUAAAAGGCAAAUAGUUUGUAUAAUGAAGAAGUGAGAAAAUAUAGCAGUAGGUAAAACAAAUAAAGCAUUGAUGUGCUAGCCAAUAGAACUUGACAGGGAGAACAAAAGAGGAUAUCCAGUAUAUCUUUAACUUCUUUACUUCUUUAUUAUACAAACGUUAAGAACUUACAGCUGUAUACAAUGACCAAACU